AGAGUUUGAUCCUGGCUCAGAAUGAACGCUGGCGGCGUGCUUAACACAUGCAAGUCGCACGAGAACGCUUCAGCUUGCUGGAGCUAGUAAAGUGGCGCACGGGUGAGUAACGCGUGGGUAACCUGCCCUUGAAUCGGGAAUAACUUCGCGAAAGCGUAGCUAAUACCGGAUACUGCCCCUAAGGCUGUGGCCCUGGGGAUGAAAGGUGACCUCUUCAUGAAAGUUGCCGUUUGGGGAGGGGCUCGCGUACCAUUAGCUUGUUGGCGGGGUAAUAGCCCACCAAGGCUACGAUGGUUAGCUGGUCUGAGAGGAUGAUCAGCCACACUGGAACUGAAACACGGUCCAGACUCCUACGGGAGGCAGCAGUGAGGAAUUUUGCGCAAUGGGGGAAACCCUGACGCAGCAACGCCGCGUGAGUGAAGAAGGCUUUCGGGUCGUAAAGCUCUGUCAAGUGGGAAAAAAUACUAUCGAUAAAUAGUCGAUAGGAUUGAUGUACCAUUAGAGAAGCACCGCUAACU
rnacentral:rRNA from 1 species